rnacentral:tRNA from 1 species
CAGGGAGACAACAAAAUGUUUAAUAUUAUUAUUUUGUCACCUUAGGUCGAUCGGUAUCUCACGUUUUUAAUUUAUUAAUAUUAAAAAUUUCAUUUCCUAAGUUUUUCUAGGUCACACCCAUUAUUUUUCCUGGGCCAUUAGCUCAGGUGGUUAGAGCGCACCCCUGAUAAGGGUGAGGUCCCUGGUUCAAGUCCAGGAUGGCCCAUAUCUCUAUGUUGGGGGUAUAGCUCAGUUGGUAGAGCGCCUGCUUUGCAAGCAGGAUGUCAGCGGUUCGAGUCCGCUUACCUCCACUGAUUACCACCUCUUCCAUAACCGGUAAAAAGGAAAUGUAUUGAGUUGUGAUCAAAUUCUGAAAGAAUCUAGCUUCCUAAUGAAAUCAUUAAGAUGCUGGAUUCAUUGAAUUAAUUUCAUUGUUUUCAGAGAACCUUGACAACUGCAUAGAUUAUUUUAAAGACAAUAAGCAUCUUUAAUGAUGCAGAUUUAUUAUUUGUGCGAAUGCAUUAAUAACAAUUCUAUUAAGCUGAUGCUUCAAUUUUUGAAGUUAUU